UACGUAGGGGGCGAGCGUUGUCCGGAAUUAUUGGGCGUAAAGGGCUCGUAGGCGGUUCGUCACGUCGGGAGUGAAAACUCGGGGCUUAACCCCGAGCCUGCUUCCGAUACGGGCAGACUAGAGGUAGGCAGGGGAGAGCGGAACUCCUGGUGUAGCGGUGGAAUGCGCAGAUAUCAGGAAGAACACCGGUGGCGAAGGCGGCUCUCUGGGCCUUAACUGACGCUGAGGAGCGAAAGCGUGGGUAGCGAACAGG
rnacentral:rRNA from 1 species